rnacentral:rRNA from 1 species
UUCCGGUUGAUCCCGCCGGACCCGACUGCUAUCAGAGUGAGAUUAAGCCAUGCGAGUCAACGUAGUAAUACGUGGCACACGGCUCAGUAACACGUAGUCAACAUAACCAAAGGACGUGGAUAAUCUCGGGAAACUGAGGCUAAACCGCGAUAGACCAAGAUACCUGGAAUGGUUUUUGAUCAAAAUCUAUAUGGCCUUUGGAUUGGACUGCGUCCGAUCAGGCUGUUGGUGAGGUAAUGGCCCACCAAACCUAUAACCGGUACGGGCUCUGAGAGGAGGAGCCCGGAGAUGGGUACUGAGACAAGGACCCAGGCCCUAUGGGGCGCAGCAGGCGCGAAACCUCUGCAAUAGGCGAAAGCCUGACAGGGUUACUCUGAGUGACUUUCGCUAAGAAAGUCUUUUGACAUCUGUAAAAAUGGUGUAGAAUAAGGGGUGGGCAAGUCUGGUGUCAGCCGCCGCGGUAAUACCAGCACCCCGAGUGGUCGGGACGAUUAUUGGGCCUAAAGCAUCCGUAGCCGGUUUUACAAGUCCUCCGUUAAAUCCAACUGCUUAACAGAUGGGCUGCGGAGGAUACUAUAAGACUAGGAGGCAGGAGAGGCAAGCGGUACUCAGUGGGUAGGGGUAAAAUCCGUUGAUCCAUUGAAGACCACCAGUGGCGAAGGCGGCUUGCCAGAAUGCGCUCGACGGUGAGGGAUGAAAGCUGGGGGAGCAAACCGGAUUAGAUACCCGGGUAGUCCCAGCUGUAAACGAUGCAGACUCGGUGAUGGACCAGCUUUAUGCUAGUCCAGUGCCGCAGGGAAGCCGUUAAGUCUGCCGCCUGGGUAGUACGGUCGCAAGACUGAAACUUAAAGGAAUUGGCGGGGGAGCACCACAAGGGGUGAAGCCUGCGGUUCAAUUGGAUUCAACGCCGGG